UUUGGGGAAGAGGAGUUUUUACCUGGCUCAGAUUGAACGCUGGCGGCAGGCCUAACACAUGCAAGUCGAGCGGAUGACGGGAGCUUGCUCCUUGAUUCAGCGGCGGACGGGUGAGUAAUGCCUAGGAAUCUGCCUGGUAGUGGGGGACAACGUUUCGAAAGGAACGCUAAUACCGCAUACGUCCUACGGGAGAAAGCAGGGGACCUUCGGGCCUUGCGCUAUCAGAUGAGCCUAGGUCGGAUUAGCUAGUUGGUGAGGUAAUGGCUCACCAAGGCGACGAUCCGUAACUGGUCUGAGAGGAUGAUCAGUCACACUGGAACUGAGACACGGUCCAGACUCCUACGGGAGGCAGCAGUGGGGAAUAUUGGACAAUGGGCGAAAGCCUGAUCCAGCCAUGCCGCGUGUGUGAAGAAGGUCUUCGGAUUGUAAAGCACUUUAAGUUGGGAGGAAGGGCAGUAAGUUAAUACCUUGCUGUUUUGACGUUACCGACAGAAUAAGCACCGGCUAACUCUGUGCCAGCAGCCGCGGUAAUACAGAGGGUGCAAGCGUUAAUCGGAAUUACUGGGCGUAAAGCGCGCGUAGGUGGUUCGUUAAGUUGGAUGUGAAAGCCCCGGGCUCAACCUGGGAACUGCAUCCAAAACUGGCGAGCUAGAGUACGGUAGAGGGUGGU
rnacentral:rRNA from 1 species